rnacentral:rRNA from 1 species
UACGUAGGGGCCUAGCGUUGUCCGGAUUUAUUGGGCGUAAAGAGCUCGUAGGCGGUUUGGUGAGUCGGGUGUGAAAUCUCCACGCUCAACGUGGAGGGGCCACCCGAUACUGCCAUGACUAGAGUCCGGUAGGGGAGUGUGGAAUUCCCGGUGUAGCGGUGAAAUGCGCAGAUAUCAGGAGGAACACCAAUGGCGAAGGCAGCUCGCUGGGACGGUACUGACGCUGAGGCGCGAAAGCGUGGGGAGCAAACAGG